UUUAUAUCAGGGUUGAUUAAAAUUUAUCUAAUGAUUUUAAAUAUCUCGAACAUAAGGGAGCUAAAUUUAUAAUAUUUAUUUUGUAGCAAUAAAAUUAUAUAUAUAGAUUUAGAAAUUAAAUGAUAAACGAACUUAUUAAUAUCUAGUUUUUCUAGAAAUAAAUUUAAUUUAGAUAUAAUUAUUUUAGUAAAUUAAAUUUUAUUUUAAUUUAUUAAUUUUUAUAUUAAAAAUUUAUGGGAUAAUCUAUAAAUUUAAGAUAAAAAUUUAAUUUUAAUUUCUAAUGUUAUAGAGAUAAUAUUUUUCUUUAAUUUUAAUAAUUUAAUAAUUUAAUAUUUAUAAAUUAAUAAUGAUUUAAAUUUAUAUUUUAUUUUUCUAUAAAAAUUUAUAUUUUAAUUAAUAAAAUAUAGAAAUAAUGAUUAGAUUAGUAAUAAAGUUAUAUUUUAUAAUGAUAUUUUGUAUUAUAUAAUUUAAAGGAAUUCGGCAAAUAUAUUAUUCACCUGUUUAUCAAAAACAUGUCCUGUUGAUUAUAAUUUUAGGUCGAUCUGCUCAAUGAAUUAUUUUAAAUAGCUGCAGUAUGUUGACUGUACAAAGGUAGCAUAAUAAAUUGUCUUUUAAUUGAAGAAUUGUAUGAAAGAAUUAAUGAAAUAAUAACUGUCUCUAAAUUAUUAAAUGAAUUUAAAUUUUUAGUUAAAAUUCUAAAAUUUAAUUAUGGGACGAUAAGACCCUAUAGAAUUUAAUUUAAUUUUUAAAUUUAUUUAUAAUUUUAAUAAAUAUAUUUAAGAUUAAAUUUGAUUGGGAGGAUUGGUAAAUUUAAUAAACUUUAUUUAAGAUUUAAUUUUGAUAUAAAGAUAAUUUUUUGAAUUAUAAAUUGUAAUUAAAAGAAUAAAUUACCUUAGGGAUAACAGCGUA
rnacentral:rRNA from 1 species